GGUCUAAUAGUGUAGUGGUUAUCACUCGGGAUUUUGAUUACGUAAUAAUUCCCGUAACCCAGGUUCGAACCCUGGUUAGACCU